UUUGAAUUGAACUGGGUUGAAUCAUUGACUUUGAAUUGAACUGGGUUGAACUGGGUUGAAUCAUUGACUUUGAAUUGAACUGGGUUGAAUCAUUGACUUUGAAUUGAACUGGGUUGAAUCAUUGACUUUGAAUUGAACUGGGUUGAAUCAUUGACUUUGAGUUGAACUGGGUUGAACUGGUUUGAAUGUCAUUGACUAUGAAUUGAACUGAAGUGAUUCUUUUCUCUCCCUCCUCCCCAGAUUGAAGAAGGCCAUGAUUGGUUUUGAGCACAUGUUCGAGGAGGUUCCCAUCGUGAUCAAGAACUCCCACCUGAUCAACGUUCUGAUGUGGGAACUGGAGGAGAAGUGUACUGUGGCCGACAAACACGAACUGCUCAACCUCUCCAGCAGUAACCACCUGGAGAAGUCUCUGCAGCUCCUGAUGGACAGAGUGGAUGAUAUGAGUCAGGACAUUGUCAAGUAUAACACCUACAGCCGUAACCUCAGCAAGCAACA